CUGGGUUCUUGAGUUUGUAUGAACUACGUCCACCCACCCUUUGUCAUUUGCAAAUGAUCUCUUCGGUCGUUUGUUCACUCAAACGACCGGCAUUGCAAAACUCUUUGUUGUAAAAAUGAAGUCUAGUCUUUUUUUAUUGAAUUAAAA
rnacentral:misc_RNA from 1 species